rnacentral:rRNA from 1 species
AUGGACGCAAUAUCGUUUGUGUCUCCAUUUUUUCUGAAAGAGUCUGUCCUCAAUACCUGGACAGGUGAGCUGAUGGGUUUUCGAUCAAUGGGUAAUUUCAACAGCGUCAACCCCGCUGAAAGGCGUUACAUUCCAAACCCAGAGCAUAUGCGUACAAGUAGAGGCAGACGGCAGUGUCAGCGCAUCCGGAAUGAUAUGGAUGAAUCUGAAGCAGGAGGUCCGACUAGGCAAUGCAUUCUAUGCAAUGAAUUUGGCCAUAGGGACACUAAUUGUCCCACUUUCGUCACUGGGCGUGGACGAGGCAACAGGGAAAGAAGAGGAGGUAGAGGCAGUAGAGGAGUAAGGGCGAGAGGAAGAAGCUAA